rnacentral:rRNA from 1 species
GACGAACGCUGGCGGCGUGCUUAACACAUGCAAGUCGAACGUGAUUUUUGUGGAAAUUCUUUCGGGAAUGGAAAUGAAAUGAAAGUGGCGAACGGGUGAGUAACACGUGAGCAACCUACCUUACACAGGGGGAUAGCCGUUGGAAACGACGAUUAAUACCGCAUGAGACCACAGAAUCGCAUGAUAUAGGGGUCAAAGAUUUAUCGGUGUAAGAAGGGCUCGCGUCUGAUUAGCUAGUUGGAAGGGUAAAGGCCUACCAAGGCGACGAUCAGUAGCCGGUCUGAGAGGAUGAACGGCCACAUUGGAACUGAGACACGGUCCAAACUCCUACGGGAGGCAGCAGUGGGGAAUAUUGCACAAUGGGGGGAACCCUGAUGCAGCGACGCCGCGUGAGCGAAGAAGGUGUUCGAAUCGUAAAGCUCUGUCCUAUGAGAAGAUAAUGACGGUAUCAUAGGAGGAAGCCCCGGCUAAAUACGUG